GUGCUGGAGUUUCUCAAGUGUGCUGGGUGACAGGUGCAACUGAUCUGCUGAUUGCAUUGGAGGAGUAUUUUAGCAGGAGGCUGCCUGCACUUCUUUGCCAGAGUGUUUGCCUUACGUGGUAACAAACUCAGCCACCUCUAAGCGAUGCUUUGUUCUUUGCUUCUAGGCUGAUAUUGUUUAUGUUCCUUUGCAGGCAGAAACCAGAACCUACUGAUCAUUCUUUGUUGAACUUUGGCUUCAGUUCUGGAAGUUUCUGGACAAUCAGGAUUACCUACGUUUGGUGGAUCUCAUUUGGAUUUCGUUCCAAGUACAAAGCUGGCAGCUUCCUGUUAUCCUCCGUCUCCUGAACCAAGCAAGAAGCGUACCCUGUCCACCCUCCAACGCAAGUACCUGAGCAUUGAAUUAACCCCUGAACUCACCAGAACUUGCUCUACAGCUCAAGUAGAACCAUCUGGAUUUCUCCACCUUGCACACCUGGGUCCCUCUACCCCUGGCGACCUGACUACGCUCUCUUAUUGGUGAUUCUACCGUUCACAUUCCAGUAUCACUUUGUAAAUAAAACACCUUUCGCUAA